GAUGAAGAACGUAGCGAAAUGCGAUACGUAAUGUGAAUUGCAGAUUUCAGUGAAUCAUCGAAUCUUUGAACGCACAUUGCGCCCGCCAGUAUUCUGGCGGGCAUGCCUGUCUGAGCGUCAUUUCAACCCUCAUGCCCCUAGGGCGUGGUGUUGGGGAUCGGCCAAAGCCCGCGAGGGACGGCCGGCCCCUAAAUCUAGUGGCGGACCCGUCGUGGCCUCCUCUGCGAAGUAGUGAUAUUCCGCAUCGGAGAGCGAUGAGCCCCUGCCGUUAAACCCCCAACUUUCCAAGGUUGACCUCAGAUCAGGUAGGAAUACCCGCUGAACUUAAGCAUAUCAAUAAGCGGAGGA
rnacentral:misc_RNA from 1 species